GACGAACGCUGGCGGCGUGCUUAACACAUGCAAGUCGAACGAUGAAGGAGAGCUUGCUCUCCGGAUUAGUGGCGAACGGGUGAGUAACACGUGACUAACCUGCCCCUUUUUCUGGGAUAACGCUCCGAAAGGAGUGCUCAUACCGGAUACGAACUCUGAACACAUGUUCGGAGUUGGAAAGUUUUUCGGAAAGGGAUGGAGUCGCGGCCUAUCAGCUUGUUGGUGAGGUAACGGCUCACCAAGGCGACGACGGGUAGCCGGCCUGAGAGGGCGACCGGCCACACUGGGACUGAGACACGGCCCAGACUCCUACGGGAGGCAGCAGUGGGGAAUAUUGCACAAUGGGCGAAAGCCUGAUGCAGCGACGCCGCGUGAGGGAUGAAGGUCUUCGGAUUGUAAACCUCUUUCAGUAGGGACGAAGCGAAAGUGACGGUACCUAAAGAAGAAGCACCGGCUAACUACGUGCCAGCCGCCGCGGUAA
rnacentral:rRNA from 1 species